AUAGGCAGUAUAUACACUAGCACUGGAACAGUGCAGCGAAGCUUAGCAUGGGCCCUGUGCAAGGAUGACAUACAAAUUCAUCAAGCAUUCCAUAUUUUU
rnacentral:snRNA from 1 species